GCGGCCGCCGAGACGCCGGGAAAGAGACCAGCGGGGGACUCCAGAAAAAAAAAACCAAAAACGGAGGAAAGAGGCCCCGAAAGGGGAGAGAAGCGGCUCUAACGCUUCGCCGGACGGAAGCGGAAGCCGGGGCUGCGGCCGCGGAGCGUGCCCAGGACAGACUAGUCAGCCGAGUGACCUUGGCCGCGUCCUUUGCGCCGUAGCCGGCAGGCACGGAGGCGUCUCAUGUGGGGUGGACUCCGGACCGCCUUUUGGACAAGAUGACCAUGCACGGAGGAACCGAUGUGGGCGCACAGAGAUGCCCUCCCAGAGGAGGUUCCACGGACUGUGCCGCAGAGAAUGAGUAACUGGAGAAAAUGAAUGGAUGGAUCCGAGAGCAUGGAACAGUCUAUCGCUAUUCAAGAAGUGGUCUAGGCUCUGAAGGAUGCUUAUCCACUUGGACAGAGCACAAAAGCACAGGGGAUUAACAGGAGCAAGACAUAAGACAAUACCAUACAUUGGUUGAAAGCAAGGAUCUUUUCUCAUAAUUAAAAAAAGGAAACGAGGCCCCUCUGCCCUUUAAGGAGAACCUGAUAAUGCUGCCUGGAGGCCCUGGGAGGCAGUGGGGACUGUGGGGCUGCUGACCACGGGGUCAGGGUCAGCAGACACCAGCAGUUCUGAAGGAGAACGCGGAGGCUGUCUGCCCCUGUAGAGUGACAGUCUUGGAAACCCACAGGGGCAAUCCUGCCCUGACCUUCAGGGUCACUCUGAGUUAGCAUUGACUUGUUGACAGGGUGAGGGGGGUGUGCUAUGGGUUAGACCUUGGGCUGCCAACGGCAACACCGUGAUUCAAACCUACCAGCUGCUCUUUGGAAGGAAGCGGAGGCUGUCUGCGCCUGUAAAGAGUGACAGUCUUGGAAACCCUCCACGGGGUCACUGUGAGUUGGAAUCCCCUCAGGGGCAGGAAGUUUGGAGUUUGCCCUUGUUGACCUGUGACCACGGUCUCAGGUGGCGGGGGACUGGGCCAGGGAGGAACUCAGGAGGAAGGGUCUGGGGCUUCCUGGGGGCAGGCAGAGGGUGACCAGAAUCGGGUACAAACCAGCAGCCGACACCACCACCAACUCCUCACAAGUCUCCAUUGCAAAGGUUUUGGAAGACCUAAGAAAGCGUUGAAAAGCACGAAGAAGACAAUUCAAAGAACCUGCGAUCUUAGCAUCAGAGAAAAGUAUAUUUGUGUGUGUGUAUGAGUGACACACACUUAACAUACACCCCACCCAGUGCCAUCCAGCUGAUUCCAACGAGGAGUUCUGAGGCUUUAAAUCUGCAGGAGCUGACAGCCUCAUCUUUCUCCUUGGAGUCGUUGGUGGGGGUUGAACUGCCAGCCUUGCAGUCCAGUUGCCCCAGUACUGUCACCAGGGCUGUGAUUCGUUUAUUCAGAAAUGCACCUUUUUUUCCUUCACAUUUUUAACAAACGAACUCAAGAUGACAAUCUCAAAUGAUGGUGGAAUCUUAACAUUAGUCAGCAGUAAUUCUUUCUAGCGGACAUAAUGGCAUUUAUAUAGUUUUGGUGAAUUUGUUAGAGUAUCCUAAUACAGCUGGCUUCCCCCUCUGGCCAUCCCUUGGUAGUGGCCAAGAGACCAGGCUAGAUCGCCAUACCUGGCUUAGCAGGCCGGGGAACUGGGUUCUCCUAAGCCUUCCCCCAGAGGGUCACACUCCGAAGCCCCUUUAUUUGUUGGUGUGUAUGGGAGUGCUGUAGUGCCCGAAGGCCCUGCUCAACAAGACCACCACCCUAGUGCAGGUGGCAGGCCCAGGUGGCCAGGAGCCUCCUCAAGGGGCACAGCCGAAUGGGAAGUGCAUCACGCUAUCCAAACAGGAGGACCAGGGACCUGAUCGAGGACUAUGGCAGUAAGCUGGCUUCUGAGAAUGUCCAGAACUGUCUGCCUGUCCACACCUCGCCAACAUCCUGCCCUCGAUUUCUGAGAGGACCUUCGUGUCCUCUUCUGCAGUAAUGGCGGUGCCGUCAGUGGUCAGCCAUCCAGGUGCUGGUCCUGGUGCACCACUACACCCUUGGAGAGCCGCCACCUGCAGGCACCCUCCUCCACAGCCACCUUCUGGGCCUGCCUGUUUUCCCACACACACACAAUGGCUUGCAUCAGUCCACUGAAAUGCCACUUGAAAAUGCAGCUGAAGUGACCUCGCCACUAGAUUUUAUUAUUAAUCAGUUGACCUUUCUUUUUUUUAAUCAUGUUAUUGGGGGCUCGUACAACUCUUACCACA